UGGGACGUGGUGUACGGCGCACCGCUGCCUUCGAUGUACCAUAGGAACAUUGAACAGCAGCAAGCCGGGGUUCGACUCCCCGCGUCCCAC